CAGACUAUAAUUUAAUUAAAAAUACUAACUUUGGGAGUUAAUAAUCGGUGGCACCGUAGUCUGA
rnacentral:tRNA from 1 species